CCUGGAUAGAAUCCUGCAUGUUUGAUGGAAAAGCAGUUUGGUGGCAGUUGAGAGACAGCAAAGAAUUGUGAGGAGAGAACCAUGAGCUGAGGAGAAUUCUGGCCAGCCCCAGGACUUCCAGCUCUGGAAGAGGAGCAGGGAGAAAAUCUUUGGCCCAUUCAUGAAAUCUCAUGGGCAGAGACAAAGGACAAGAGGACUGUGAAUAAGUAUACGACCUGGAUGAAUGAUUUCACUGAAUAAGGAAGUCCCAAGUGAAGAAAUUCCCUUCAUUAAGGCAUCUUAGCACCAUCUCUGCAACUAAUAAUCUUGGAGAGUAGCCAAGAACUCUGUGAGAUAAGAGAUUUUCUGAGGAUCACAUAACCAAUAAUGGUCUGAGGACUUAAUUUUUUGUCUUCCUGGCUUUAAGGCAAGUUUAUAUUCUCCUGUUUACCUCCUCCCUCAUUUUACAGAUUAGGAAAUAUGAAACGGUGAAGAAACAUAUCCAGAGGUGUUUCACUAACAAGCAUGAAUCUGGGAUGGGAUUUACUUUCAUAUCUCCCUCAUUCUAAAUUCAGUACUCCUUCUAUUAAAUUGCACUGUGACUAAAGAAUUGAAAGUAAUGGGAUUGGCUGAGAUUCCAUUUUUUAGAAUCCUUUAGAGAAAAGAGAACUUAAUUCACAUUAUAUAUUUCAGCAGUAAAUAGGUACUGAGCCUUGAACUCAAAAAUUAUUAAAGGAGUUUCACAAAGCAAGAAUAUAUGACUACAUUAAUUAUUGAAGUAAUUUUCACCUUAUGCCAUUUAAUUAAAAGCAAAUCAACAAGUUUUUAAUAAGAAAUACUACAUGGAAAAUACCCAUCUCAAUUAGUGAAAAGAAUUCUUAAUAAAGAGUCAAGAAAUAUAUGAUAUCAGUUCUUAGCUAUUCCAUUAACCAUCUGUGUGAUCUUGCAAAAGUCAUUUAUUCACUAAUUCAUCUUAUAUGUAUUGUAAACAAGGGAGGAGGAGGAAAAUAAGAGUGAUGAUGACACAUCAAAGUUUUGUUGUGGGAACAGCUCUUGAUCUGAACAAAAUCGGAAGUGAAAUCAUCUUUACCUCAUAUUCUAAUUUAUAAAAUAAGGACAAGUCAAAUUACCCAAACUCCUGUUAAGGUUAUAUGGAAAGACCAAAAUAAACUAUGCAUGCCCAAAUGCAAUGGAAAGUAUAAAGUGCAUUAUGAGAUAUUCUUUGCAUCAUCAUCAAUAUGUUUAAAAUAAGACAAUCAGAGACUAGGAAUUCCUCUCAGUGACUUUGGCAUAACUCCAGAACAAUUAGGGAACUUGUCUAGAUCCAGAAGGAGGUAAAGACGAGUAAAUAAAGAAGAGGGCUUGAGGGGAAGUAAAAAUCAAUGAAGCCCAAAUGGACCAUUUUGGAUUCAUUCAUCUGUGUAGGCUGUUGGAUCCUUUUUGAGGUUUUUGCUUCAUUUACUUUCUUCUCUUUUUAUUGUCUAUUCAGCUUUUCUUUUCUGGAGGAAGUCUCCUACUAAGCUCAGUCUACUUGCCCUUAAAGCAUAUCAUUAUGAAAAAAUAGGUGCUCUUGGAUAAUUAAGUGGCAGAAAGGAUAUUAAUGAAGGCAACAAGUGAAAUUAGAUAAGUUUCAAAAUUAAUGAAUCAAUUCUUUAGUCAUAUCCCUAUUGAUCAACUCUGAUCAAAUCACUUUCCCAACUCUCUUUAUAGGGUCCUACUACCAUUGCCCUGGAAGAACAGCAGAGUUUCCCCAGGAGGGUCACUUCUCUUCUUAUGAAGAAUCUCCUUUUGGGUAGGAUGGAUACCAAUGUUUUUCUGCUUCCCUGAGGAAAACUGACUGUAGGUAUUAUUGCUUCCCAUAAUCACUGGAGUCCUAUAAGAUUACAAGUGAAAUAUGGACUGUCCAGAGGGAUUCUUUCUCUCAGAAGAUUUUGGUGAGGCAAAAAUGUCAGCUCCAAGUAAUACUAACUCAUGAUGUGCUUAUCCCUUUUCUGCUCACAUAAAAAGUGAUUUGGAAAUGUGAUUAUGAGUUGAAUGUAAGUGCCAAGAUGGAGGGCCAAAUCCAAACAUUUAAUUUCUUAGGUUAUCUCACUGACACAUUUACAGCAAAGUAAUUCAAGGUGCUCAAAGAUACCUAUCAUAUUUUGCUGGCUCAAUGUAUAUCUGUGCUGAAAUAAAUUGCAAGCAACUCAAUUUCUCUGGCAAUCCCAACUCCAUGCAGACAGGCUCAUGGAUGCUACUCCAUGUAAUUUAAGCCAGCCAGAGCUAUCUUUAGCUCUAGUUACUAUAGAUCAUCCUUUUGCCACUUUUAGGCAUGAAAUUGUUUAGAAACUGUGAAGUGAAUUAAGUGCUAGAAAGGUGUGGAGGGAAGUCAGGUGGACUACAGUAAGAUGGAAUUGCUAUGCUGUAAAAGAAAGGCUAUUAGAAAAAUUCACACAUAGAAAUACACACACACACACAUACCUCUCAGCCCAUGAUUUAUGUAGAGUUUUGGGGCUAAGGGAUGAGGGAGCAUAGAAGAGACAGAAUAUAAAUUUAAGACAAAUAGAUGAGUCAAAUUCUCCCCUUAUAUUAAAAGCUAUCAGUGGGUAUAAUUCAACAAUUUCUUUUUUUAUAUUUUUUCCUCUAACCUGAAAAGGUCUUGACAAUAGAGAAACUCCUGUCUAUUGAUCUUGUACACAAUAAUCCUCCUUUAAUCAGUAAUUCCCCCCUCCUGGUUUAUAUUAACAUAAAAUAAGAUUGAACAAUACUAGAUUUGAUAGUCUAUUUGUUUAUUUACUUGACAUUUGGGAGCUUUUAUUAUAUAGCUGCAAAAAUAUAGGCAAAAAUGCUGACACUUGAAGAACAGAAAAUAUAGUUGUCAGGGAAUAAUUCUAUUUCAGGAUCAUUUGUUUCAUUUUUUAAAAAUUGGUGAACAAUAAUAAUAAUUAGGUAGGCAUUUCAAGCUUUGCUGUGUCAGAAAACAACUAAUUUACUAUUUUGCUUAUUAUAUUCAUGUGAUACAGUCUAUGGUAAAUGAAUUACAAAUCUUCAGAAAUAAAUAUAAAUGAAAGGAAUACAGGUGAUAAAUACAAAUGAAAGAAUUUGCAAAUUUGUGAAAAAUAUGUGGCAUUUGCAAACCACUUCAGUGCAUUAACUUUGUAAGUAAGAAUCAAUCAUUUACAUUCUAUAUAAAUAGACACUCUGGGCUAGAGAAAAUUAAAUAAUAUUCUACCUACAGAAUUCUGUGAGCUCUUUAUUCUUUAUCUGGAACAAACAUUUUUCUUUUAGCUCUGGGUAAAUGUGAGAAGAAUGUUCUCAUAAAUCAUAGACAACAUUGCACAAAAUCUUGUUCUCUUCUAGUCCAACUUCCCAAUCUGCUUAAGUGCCUAACAUUCCCUUUGGUAAGGUACAUUAUGCUAUGCCAAUGAAGACACUGUACCUUAUAUCCAUACCCAGUAAUAAAUUGAAAGGUUUUUUAUGUAAUGUGUCAAGGCAAGCUUACUUAUUAAGUUUCCCAUUUAAAAUUACUAGGUUUUCUUUGAAAAAAAAAUGUAGUUUUCCUUGAGAUAAGCACAUUUAUCUUGCUCUGAUUUGUAGAAACUAUAAAACAAAUAAUCUCAUCUAUUCUGCAUUGCCUGUACAAUAUGCUAAAUAAUAGUACCUAGUCAUUUCUAAAAUGGGAUGGCAAAAUAGUGGAGCAGAAAGAAGUGCUUUAAGCAUAGGACUUUUCACUGUUACUCUUCUAGAACCACUUUAAUAUUAUAUUUCUAUUUUUUACUUUUAUAGAAUUUUUAAUAAUCAUUUUUGACAUUUUAAUAUUCAUGUUCUCUGUCUCCCUCCCAUUCCUUUCCUCUCCACAAUAUGGCAGGUAAUGUGAUAUCGAUUGUAUAUGUGUUAUCAUACAACACAUACUUACAUGUUCAUAAUUUUGCAAAAAAAAGGACACACUAGAGAAAAAAUUAAUUGAAGAAAUCAAGUGAAGAACGACAGGUUAAUAUUAUGAUUUCUUCAUUUCAUCUGUUUUAUAUUCUACACGCUCAUUGGCGAACCCGUGGCAUGGAUGCACAGGUGGCACUCUGGGAGCUGCUCUGUUCCCCCUCUUCCCAGUGACCAAGGACAUUUUUUUUUGCAUGCUCCAGCCCCUCUGACCAGCUGCCCAAAGCAAGCACUUUCUCCCUCAGCUCUCUGGAUAAUCCAGGGGCUCACCUGCAGUUUGAAUUUGCCUUCUGUACACUCAACCUGGGAAAAGUUUCAACAACCCUUCCUAAUACUGAGCAAACAAGGAAUUCUGAAACAAAGUAAGGAGAGAUGAAAUAUUUGCUGCUGUUAACGGUGAUUAAAGUAAACUGUCAAAAAAGUAUGCUGGAAAGUGAAAAGGGAAACUACUAGGUCUCCUUAGUUUUCAGAUGUUAACUUGGAACUCUCUGGUUCAUUAUUUACUGAAUCUCCUUUUUCUUUGUAUUCUUCUAAUGAGACUAGCUAGCUCAAUAUUCUCUUUAAACUUGAUUGUAUUUACAUAUAUAUGUCAAUAACCUUGUCUCUGAAAAACUAGCAUCACACUUUUUCAGGGACAGAGUUAAGCAUUAUUUAAUAUGUACUUUGAGGAUAAAUGGACCAGUUAGUCUUGAAUAUACCCCCUGUGAAGAAAUAAUUUUCAAAACUUCAUGGUUAAAUAUAAUAUGUAUUUUCCUCACCUUUCAAAAAUCUCCACAACACUUGUCUUAAAAUUCUGCUGGAUUUUGAGGGGCAGACAACCACAGAUGACACUGGAAAUUUGAAGAUUUAGAAACAAUUGGAGACUGUCCACGUUUGUCAUAUUAUGGAUAUGUGUAUAUUUUAUGUAUAUUUUUGAAUAUAUGCAUAUAUAUAAAUGCACACACAUACAUAUCAUAGCAUAAUUAUAGAAUUACUAAGUGAUUGAAAAUUAGGGGUAUUAAGAUAGAACGGUAUUCUAUAAUUAUUAAGUAUAAAAUACAUUUGUUUUUUAUAAGCUGAAUAACUGACUAUGAACACUGUAUUUUAUGUUUAGGUGCAUGGUAGCAUGUUCAAGGAUAUAAAGUACCUUAGGAGGCAGUUGCGUGGCUCAGAGGAUAGAGUAUUGCGUCUGGGUCAAAAAGAUCGGAUUUCAAAUCUGACCUCAGACAUUAAUUAGCUAUAUGAUCAUGGUAAGUCAUUUAACUGCUUUCUUAAUCUAUUAGAGAAGGAAAAGCACUUCAGUGUCUUUGGCAAUGAAAACUCCACUGGCAGUAAGGUCCAUGGAGUCAAAGAGUCUCACAC